AGGUUGGUGCAAAAGUAAUUGCGGUUUUUGCCAUUAAAAGUAAUGGCAAGGAACAAAACUAUUUUUGCACUAACCUAAUAACUGCUCUGGGCUUCAAUCUUUAUCUAUGAAACA
rnacentral:miRNA from 10 species